AUUGAACGCUGGCGGCAGGCCUAACACAUGCAAGUCGAGCGAGCGGCGGACGGGUGAGUAAUGUAUGGGGACUGCCCGAUAGAGGGGGAUAACUACUGGAAACGGUAGCUAAUACCGCAUACUAUCGGAUAACCCAUAUGGGAUUAGCUAGUAGGUGAGGUAAUGGCUCACCUAGGCGACGAUCCCUAGCUGGUCUGAGAGGAUGAUCAGCCAGACUGGGACUGAGAGACAGCCCGGACUCCUACGGAGGCAGCAGAGGGGAAUAGUGAACAAUGGGCGCAAGCCGGAUGCAGCCAGGGCGCGAGGAUGAAGAAGGCCCUAGGGAAGUAAAGUACUUAGAGGCGGGAGGCGUUACCGACAGAAGAAGCACCGACAAUCUCCGUGCCAGAAGCCGCGGUAAUAC
rnacentral:rRNA from 1 species